UGAAUCCUAGAAAAUUCUAAAAGCACACAGACUUGGUCCUGAUCUUAUUAUCAACCCUUCCUAAACUUACACAUGCAAGUCUCAGCAUACCCGUGAGGACGCCCUUUUAUCUACACCAGAAUAAGGAGCUGGUAUCAGGCACUAAAAACCUGCCCACUACACCUAGUCCCACCACGCCCCCAAGGGCUUUCAGCAGUGAUAAACAUUGACCAUAAGCGUUAGCUUGACUCAGUUAUAGGAAAGAGAGCUGGCCAACUCGGUGCCAGCCGCCGCGGCUAGACCGCAUGAGCUCAAGUUGAUAACCAUCGGCGUUAAGCGUGAUUAAAGACUUACUUCAUUAGAAUAAAAUCUACACUUAGCUGUGACAAGCUUGUUGCUAGAGAAAAACAAAUACGAAAGUUAUUCUAACCCACUUGAACUCACGACAGUAAGGAAACAAACUGGGAUUAGAUACCCCACUAUGCCUCACCGUAAAAUAUUAACUUACACCAUCAACGCCAGGGUAUUACGAGCCCAGCUUAAAACCCAAAGGACUUGACGGUGUCCCAUCCAACUAGAGGAGCCUGUUCUAUAAUCGAUAACCCCCGAUCUACCCAACCCAAUUUUGCCAUUCAGCCUGUAUACCUCCGUCGCAAGCUUACCACAUGAAUGACUACAGUAAGUUUAAUGGUCUAACACCAACACGUCAGGUCAAGGUGCAGCUCAUAAUAGGGAAAGCAAUGGGCUACAAUUUCUAAUAUAGAACACACGGAACGCUGCAUGAAACACAGCCAUGAAGGUGGAUUUAGAAGUAAAAAAGAAACAAUGUGUUUUUUUUAACAAGGCCCUGGGACGUGUACACACCGCCCGUCACCCUCUUCAACAGUUUACAACAUGUUUUUAACAUCUUCACACACCCUAGAAGAGGUAAGUCGUAACAUGGUAAGUGUAUCGGAAGAUGCACUUGGAUCAACAAAAUAUAGCUUAACUAAAGCCUCUCGCUUACACCGAGAAGAUAUCCGUUUGACUCAGAUUAUUUUGAGCCUGAAAUUCAGCCUAACCUAUAACCUAUGCAUACCACAAUAAAAUAACCUUAAAUAAAACAUUUUACCAGUUUAGUAGAGGCGAUCAAAAAAUUUAUUAGCGCUAUACUACAAGUACCGCAAGGGAAAAAUGAAAUAACUUUGAAAUAGUUUUAAAGCUCUUCAUAGCAGAGACUAACUCUCGUACCUUUUGCAUCAUGGUUUAGCCAGUCUUAAUCAAGCAUAACGAAACAUUAAGUUUGACCCCCCGAAACUAGACGAGCUACUUUUAAACAGCUUCACAGAGCCAACCCAUCUCUGUCGCAAAAGAGUGGGAUGAUUUUUAAGUAGAGGUGAAAAGCCUAUCGAGCCUAGAGAUAGCUGGUUGUUUGGAAAAAGAAUUUUAGUUCAACCUUAAGUCUCUUUUUUACAACGACAAAUAAUCAAGACUUAAGAGCUAAUCAAAUAAGGCACAGCUUAUUUGAUAAAGGACACAGCCUACAAAAAAGGGUAAAAAUUAUACCACAGAUCAAGUGGGCCUAAAAGCAGCCAUCUUUAAAAAAGCGUUAAAGCUUCAUCUAACCUUUAAACCCAAUACCUUUAUACACUUUAAACCCUUAAUUAUUACCGAACAAUUCUAUAAAUUUAUAAAAGAUUCCAUGCUAAAACUAGUAACAAGAAAUCGAAUUUCUCCUUAAUACAAGCAUAAACCAAAAUGGACACCCCAUUGGUAAUUAACGUCAAUAAGUUCAUUAUAACAACACACUCUAGAAAACACUAUAAUUUUAUACGUUAACCUUACACUAGUGUAUUCCAGGAAAGAUUAAAAGAAAGGGAAGGAACUCGGCAAACUUUAACCCCGCCUGUUUACCAAAAACAUCGCCUCUUGACUAACUAUAAGAGGUCCAGCCUGCCCAGUGAGAUACUUAAACGGCCGCGGUACCCUGACCGUGCAAAGGUAGCAUAAUCAUUUGUUCUUUAAAUAAGGACUCGUAUCAACGGCAUCACGAGGGUUAUACUGUCUCCCCUCUCUAAUCAGUGAAACUGACCUCCCCGUGAAGAGGCGGGGAUAAAAAUACAAGACGAGAAGACCCCAUGGAGCUUUAAACCCAAUAACAACCCCUUUUAAAAAAUAACAUAAAAAUUAUACGGUAAUGUUUAUUGGUUUUAGGUUGGGGUGACCACGGAGCAAAACAUAACCUCCUUGACGAAUUGAUUUCAUCCUAAUCCAAGAGCUACUGCUCUAAGAAUCAAAAAUUUGACGUAAUAUGAUCCGGUAACCGAUCAACGAACCAAGUUACCCUGGGGAUAACAGCGCAAUCCAUUUCAAGAGCCCCUAUCGACAAAUGGGUUUACGACCUCGAUGUUGGAUCAGGGUAUCCCAGUGGUGCAGCCGCUACUAAAGGUUUGUUUGUUCAACAAUUAAAAC
rnacentral:ncRNA from 1 species